rnacentral:rRNA from 1 species
UACGGGGGGGGUAAGCGUUGUUCGGAAUUACUGGGCGUAAAGGGCUCGUAGGCGGCCAACUAAGUCAGACGUGAAAUCCCUCAGCUUAACUGGGGAACUGCGUCUGAUACUGGAAGGCUUGAAUCCGGGAGAGGGAUGCGGAAUUCCAGGUGUAGCGGUGAAAUGCGCAGAUAUCAGGAAGAACACCCGUGGCGAAGGCGGCUCUCUGGGACGGUACUGACGCUGAGACGCGAAAGCGUGGGGAGCGAACAGG